AUGAUAUAAUGGCAAUAUCUGGCGCUGACCAUGUUGGGUGAGUGAGUGAAACAUCGCUUUUGGAUAGUUUUCAGUUUAAUGUGGGGAGAAGCCCGAAUUGACACAGGGAUAUGACCAAAGCAAGAUGAAGAAAUGAUAAAUUUUUACCAGGAUGACAAAUAACGUCUGACAAUAUGUUAUUGAGUGAGUAUUACUGUGCUGUUCAAUGGACUCUUGUGAGUUGAGUUUUACGCCGCUUUUAGCAAUAUUCCAGCAAUAUCGCGGCAGGGGACACCAGAAAUGGGCUUCACACAGUGUGCCCAUGUGGGGAAUCGAACCUGGGUCUUCAGUGUGACAAGCAAAUGCUUUAACCACUAGGCUACCCUACCGCCCUGACAAUUGUAGUGCUAUAGGCACAGAGGCCUCCAAUUUAUGUGAGAAUGACAUGAUACAAAGCAAACAUCUGAACAUAUAUUUCAAUUUGACUUCUUUCUAUGAAGAAACAACAUUCCUUUCGACACACUGACUGAUUCAUGUGUAGUUUGUGCGACCGACUCGUUCAGAAAAUGACAAGAUUGAACACGAAAAAGGCACAAAAUAAAAUUCAUGAAAAGCUUACAUAUAAACAUCCUUUCGCAAUGAAAAUCCUUAAUUUGCUGAAACACUGUCAAUAACUAGUGAAUUCAAUUUAAAAAUAAUGAGUGAGUUUAGCUUUAAGCAGCUCUUAGCAAUAUUCCAGCAAUAUUACACCUGACACACAUUGUACCAAUGUGGGGAAUCGAACCCGGGUCUUCGGCGUGAUGAGCGGAUGCUUUAACCAUUAGGCUACCCCACCGCGAUGCUGUGAGCAAGACUUGCAUACCUAUCAGUAAGGUAGUGAUAACGUAAAGAGAGUAAAGACAGCUGGUUUCAGAUAUGUAAUCAUUGACUGAUGACGUGACCUUCACCUUGGUUAGAGAAUUUAAAGCACUUAAACACUGAUGUUGCUAACAGAAAUUUAAGUAGUUUAACACUAAACCAAGAAAUAUAUACCAGCUAGACCCCAAUCAGCAAAUACAAAAUAAUAUACACAAGACAAGAUUUUUCUAUUUUUUUUAUGACUAGUAUUUACUAUGCUGCUGACAUUAAAGCUCUGUACACCUAACACAAUACACUUGACUAAAUUCAUCACUUACUCAAAGGAAGCUUCAAAUCUUCAAAAAAAAAGAUAUGAAAACAAUUUGACCUAAUGCCGAGGGGAGGCUGGCUCAAUACUACCUCAAACACAUACAGUUACUGGUCAUCUUAAAGUCAUGAAGCCAAACCUGACCAUCAAGAAGAUGAGAACCAGUUCCCGAUUUCUCGAAACAAACUUAAG